UUCUGCUUCCUUUGGAGGGUCUCUUCACACAGAGAAGAUGAAGAGUGGACACUAGGGGACAAGGAACAAGGAUAAAAUCACAAGUCUUAGAGACAUCUAUCUGGCUCUACAAUGGCACCCCAGAAAGGCAGGGAGUGGUGAAUAAUUUAACAAUGGUACAGAAAAGCAUUUUGCACUUCAACAAAGCACAUAAAAAUGGAAUAACCUUUAGUUCAAAACAAAUUUCAUCUUAAAGCCAAUUCUCCUUAUUUCUUCUUACACUUUCAAAGCUGACUCCGCAAAACAAAAGCUGGAGGCUCUACUGUAGCUACUGAUCUCGGAGUUUCCAUGAAGCUAUUAUUGCAACCUGCGGUCCUGCAAUCAUUAGGGAUGACCAUCUCAGUGACAACAGGAGACUCAGAGGGCUAAGCAAAGUGGUGUGCACAUGAUACUGGAGACUGGAGAACCUGGGCAUGACAUUGC
rnacentral:lncRNA from 1 species